AUUGAACGCUGGCGGCAUGCUUUACACAUGCAAGUCGAACGGCAGCGCGGGCUUCGGCCUGGCGGCGAGUGGCGAACGGGUGAGUAAUACAUCGGAACGUGCCCAGUAGUGGGGGAUAGCUCGGCGAAAGCCGGAUUAAUACCGCAUACGACCUGAGGGUGAAAGCGGGGGAUCUUCGGACCUCGCGCUUUUGGAGCGGCCGAUGGCAGAUUAGCUAGUUGGUGGGGUAAAGGCCUACCAAGGCGACGAUCUGUAGCUGGUCUGAGAGGACGACCAGCCACACUGUGACUGAGACACGGCCCAGACUCCUACGGGAGGCAGCAGUGGGGAAUUUUGGACAAUGGGCGAAAGCCUGAUCCAGCAAUGCCGCGUGUGUGAUGAAGGCCUUCGGGUUGUAAAGCACUUUUGGCGGGAACGAAAAGGACUGUGCCAAUACCACGGUUCGAUGACGGUACCCGCAGAAUAAGCACCGGCUAACUACGUG
rnacentral:rRNA from 1 species